GACGAAGGGGGCUAGCGUUGUUCGGAAUUACUGGGCGUAAAGCGAGUGUAGGUGGUUGUCGUAGUCAGGCGUGAAAGCCUUGAGCUCAACUCAAGAAAUGCGCUUGAUACUGGGCAGCUAGAGGACCGGAGAGGAUAGUGGAAUUCCCAGUGUAGUGGUGAAAUACGUAGAUAUCGGGAGGAACACCUGUGGCGAAGGCGGCCCCCUGGUUGGAUACUGACGCUGAUACGCGAAAGCGUGGGGAGCAAACAGG
rnacentral:rRNA from 1 species